CUUGGUCCCCGCACCCCCAUCCCCCUCCCGGUGCCCCCCAGCGGCUCCCAUUGUUCUUGGAGGCCAGCGCAUGCGCAGGACUGGCUCUCAGAGCGGCAGAGUGGUUGGCGAGCUGGAGAGCCCCGGGGCGUGUGCACUGGAGGCGGGGCCCCAGGUGCGCAGGUGGCUGUCUCGGAGGUUUGUGUAGGGGGAUUGGCGGUUUCUGGAUCCUUCCUCCAUGAUUUUCAGCACAGGGGAGCUCUCCUGUCUGCAGUGUGGAGGAGCGCUGGGCAGGAGGCGGCGCUGAGCACACGUGGAUUCCCUAGAAUGGACGCCUGCCUGUGAGUGGAUUGCUGGUCCAGAGGCUGAUGUGCAUCUGCAACUUGACGAGCUGCAGCCAAAUCAUACUCUGAAGUUUUAACAAUUUCCAUUCUCGCCAACAGUGUCUGAGUCAUCCUUUCCCUGGGAAUUGUCAGAUCGGCAUUGUCAGAUUUUUAAAGUUUUGCCAAUCUGAUGACUGAGAAAUGAUGUAUUUGUUUCCCUCUUUGUACAACUGUUUUGACAAAUGCAGAGAGCUGUGCCACUACCACCUUCAAUAUACAGAACAGUUCCAGCACCCAGAACUCCCUUCAGCUGCUCUUUUGUAGUCAACUCUUCCCCCACCCUUAACCCCUGGCAACUAAUGAUUUGUUGUCUUUCCCUAUGGUUUGUCUUUUCUAGAAUAUCAUAUAAAUGGAAUCCUACAGUA